CCCAGACAACAGUCAUUUCAGGGCACCACGGUGCUGAAAGAAGCCCAAAGGGCACAACCCCGUUUAAAAAAAGCAUUUUUCUGGUCACCUUUAAUACAUCUACGGGGAGGAAAUGCCAUGGGAUUAUUUGGUAAAUACAGAGCAGGCGGGAAUGGACACGUUUGGCAAACGAUAUCUAUAUCUAGGGAGAGAGAGAGUCAACAUUUUUCAAAAUUCAAGUUUCUUUUUUUUUUUACCAACUCUAGCUAAAUAGCCCUGCACUGCUCUGUCUUGUGCAUGCAAUGUGCAUGCAAAGGAUAUAUAAAAUAAUAUAAAUAGGAGAGUGAGAUAGAUAAAGGAAUUUCCUGCUAUAUCCUGGGGAGGCUUCAUUGAAUUAAGUGAACCGCAGGAAGACUCGCAGCACUGGGGGACAUGAUGAUUUCUUCAAGGAGACAUAGUUGAGGGACAUAGCGAAAAACAAUUCAAGGUUGUUGGUGAUGUUCAAAGAACAGCUUCAGAUGGCCCAGCCCAGGCCCAGGGUGGCACAUGUGGACAGGAGGAGCACCACUUGAUCCCGCACCUGUGACUGGGAGCUGCCCUUGACCAGCCAGUCGUCAAGAUAGGGGAAGAUCUGGACCCCACAAUGUCUGAGGAGGAGUCACACUCAGAGGCUUGCCAUGUGAAAGGGGUCACCCGUACAAUAUGGUGCAAGGAGUUCUGCGCCUCACUGGACAGCCCAGACAGCAGGAACCAUGACACCCUCCUCAUGAACACAGCGGAGGCCAUAGAUCUUGCAGCCUUAUCUGCGGCAUCUGACGCUGCCUGCAGGGUUGCCCUGGCAGCCGCUGUGCCCUCCUCAAGCAGAGCUUUGAACUCCUUCUUGUCACGCUCCUGGAGGGAGUCUUCGAAUUUGGGUAGAGUGCCCCACAAAUUGAACUCAUACCGACCUAGGAGAGCCUGAUAG